UGGGACGUCGGCAAGCGGUAAGCCACCGGGCUUUGGUUCCGGCAUUCGCAGGUUCGAAUCCUGCCGUCCCAG
rnacentral:tRNA from 1 species